rnacentral:lncRNA from 1 species
CCGGUAGUGAAGGCAGAGAGAGAGGCAGGCUGGGUCCGCCUGGCAGCCUACGGGAGGAGGCGGGAGCCGGGAAGGAGGGGAGCCGAGGCCCGGCGUGGGGAGGCCGGCAGGAAGGGCCUCGAGCCCAGUGCGGACCUUUCUUCAGCCUCUGUGCUACCGAGCCGCGCGCCAGGCUCCUGUGCGAGGAGGACGCGCUGACUCCCUCCGACCUGGGCUCCGAUGGAGCAGAAAUAGCGGGACCUGGACUUGUGGCGCGCCUGGUGCCACAUCUCGGGCUCUGCGAGCGUCCUGGCGCGGGAUCCUGCCGUGAGAAGGAGUUGGGGCGGGGGACCCGGCGGGGCAUUGCGGGAGAAGGCCUGGGAGCCCUGGGAGCCUUGUAGCGUGGGGGAGUUCACUGUGUAGAGAGGUUUCAUGUCUUCAUCUAUACAGUCACUUAUUUGUCUCAAAGUUCUCGAAAUUCCCUCUUAGAGAAGGAGAAAGUUAGAGAACUGGAGGCUGCGUACCCUGAUUGCGCAGAAGGGAAGCAGCCUCGCAUUCCCCGGGGCAGGCCCCCCCAUCCCCCGCCCCGCGCGUCCCGCCAGUAGGGGAAUUUAGCGGAGGGCUGCGGUUGUCUGGUGAAAGGCUAUCCAAGAAUAAGGGGCUUCACUUUUCCCAAGUAAGGGAAAGAGAAGGGGUCUACAGGGCUAGGGGUGGAGGUAGCGGAUGCAGUGAGCAGCCUCCGCAGAGAAAUUGACAAUUUAACCAGGGACCUGCGGCAGAGACAAGGCGGAGACACUCCCUUGCCCAGGAAAGCCGCCAGAGUCCGGCUUGUACCUGGGGAAGAAUCCUUAAGACGGUCUGGCCCAACACUCCUUUUGCUCACAGAGAAAGGGGAGAAGACUCCCGAGGGUGAAAAUGGUACAUUCGGAGCUGGAACUCAGCUCGCUGACCCCAAGCAGUGUUCCCUUCUUUUCGCCAGGUUUGCAUCCAAGAGAGGGGAGGACAGGGGCUAAAGGAUGCAGGGAGGCUGCUGAUUUCCACUGAAGAGCUAAUUUCCUGUGAGACAUUAACAGUGAUUUAAGAAAAAGAUUCCUGUAACUGUAAUGUCUUACAAUAACAGAAUGCAGGAGAGCACAUAUCAAUGAAGAAAAGACAAAAUGUACUUAUCCAUGAAGCUGAGGUUAAGAAACCAGUGUCUUCAAGAGCCAAGGACAGCACUGGGUCUGUGCAGAGUUGAGAGAUGGUGAUGACAUGUGACAGAGCUCCUUGCUGCUCAAAUUUUAUGCCAGAUAAAAUAUUCACCUUCUCGGACUCCCUGGCACCAGGCAUGGCCAUGUAAUGU